rnacentral:rRNA from 1 species
GAAGGGGGGACGGAGAAGGCUAUGUUGGCCGGGCGACGGUUGUCCCGGUUUAAGCGUGUAGGCUGGUUUUCCAGGCAAAUCCGGAAAAUCAAGGCUGAGGCGUGAUGACGAGGCACUACGGUGCUGAAGCGACAAAUGCCCUGCUUCCAGGAAAAGCCUCUAAGCAUCAGGUAACAUCAAAUCGUACCCCAAACCGACACAGGUGGUCAGGUAGAGAAUACCAAGGCGCUUGAGAGAACUCGGGUGAAGGAACUAGGCAAAAUGGUGCCGUAACUUCGGGAGAAGGCACGCUGAUAUGUAGGUGAAGCGACUUGCUCGUGGAGCUGAAAUCAGUCGAAGAUACCAGCUGGCUGCAACUGUUUAUUAAAAACACAGCACUGUGCAAACACGAAAGUGGACGUAUACGGUGUGACGCCUGCCCGGUGCCGGAAGGUUAAUUGAUGGGGUUAGCGGUAACGCGAAGCUCUUGAUCGAAGCCCCGGUAAACGGCGGCCGUAACUAUAACGGUCCUAAGGUAGCGAAAUUCCUUGUCGGGUAAGUUCCGACCUGCACGAAUGGCGUAAUGAUGGCCAGGCUGUCUCCACCCGAGACUCAGUGAAAUUGAACUCGCUGUGAAGAUGCAGUGUACCCGCGGCAAGACGGAAAGACCCCGUGAACCUUUACUAUAGCUUGACACUGAACAUUGAGCCUUGAUGUGUAGGAUAGGUGGGAGGCUUUGAAGUGUGGACGCCAGUCUGCAUGGAGCCGACCUUGAAAUACCACCCUUUAAUGUUUGAUGUUCUAACGUGGGCCCCUUACCGGGGUUGCGGACAGUGUCUGGUGGGUAGUUUGACUGGGGCGGUCUCCUCCUAAAGAGUAACGGAGGAGCACGAAGGUUGGCUAAUCCUGGUCGGACAUCAGGAGGUUAGUGCAAUGGCAUAAGCCAGCUUGACUGCGAGCGUGACGGCGCGAGCAGGUGCGAAAGCAGGUCAUAGUGAUCCGGUGGUUCUGAAUGGAAGGGCCAUCGCUCAACGGAUAAAAGGUACUCCGGGGAUAACAGGCUGAUACCGCCCAAGAGUUCAUAUCGACGGCGGUGUUUGGCACCUCGAUGUCGGCUCAUCACAUCCUGGGGCUGAAGUAGGUCCCAAGGGUAUGGCUGUUCGCCAUUUAAAGUGGUACGCGAGCUGGGUUUAGAACGUCGUGAGACAGUUCGGUCCCUAUCUGCCGUGGGCGCUGGAGAACUGAGGGGGGCUGCUCCUAGUACGAGAGGACCGGAGUGGACGCAUCACUGGUGUUCGGGUUGUCAUGCCAAUGGCACUGCCCGGUAGCUAAAUGCGGAAGAGAUAAGUGCUGAAAGCAUCUAAGCACGAAACUUGCCCCGAGAUGAGUUCUCCCUGACUCCUUGAGAGUCCUGAAGGAACGUUGAAGACGACGACGUUGAUAGGCCGGGUGUGUAAGCGCAGCGAUGCGUUGAGCUAACCGGUACUAAUGAACCGUGAGGCUUAACCUUACAACGCCGAAG